UUGUAAUAGUUUAUUUUGAUAACAUCUGCAGAGGUCUUAUGGUUUAAAUUAAUACAUAUAGAAAGAUAUUAUAAUAGACAAUAUUAAGGAGAAUAUUGAUAUUGUUAUUAAUGUAUUAUGAAGCAUAGGGGUAAUGUUUACUCUAUGCAAAUGUAAAUGGCAAGAAUUAAUGUAUGUUGCAUGAGAGUGACUGUAUGUUAGUAUUAUAGAUUGCCGAAGCCGGUUGAAAUCCGUGACGUGACUUACAAUAACAAGAGACUUUUAUUGUGAAGGUGACUUUAAUUGACGGGAUUCUUAUUGUGAAAGCGAUGUAACCGGAAGUGACGUUUCGACCGGCGCAAGAGGAUUAUAAAACAGCGUGUUUUUAGAGAGCUCGUUCUCUUUCUCAGGUGAGCCCCGAAGGGAAGGUUGUGUGCGUCUCGGAAGGCGCCGAGAGCCUGCAGCCUUGACACGAGGAGAGAGCGCGUUGAAUGUUUGAUUCACUUUUCUUGCCAUUAAAUGUUGAUAACUUAAUCCAUGCGUGUCCGGAAGCCUGUUUCUCCACCAUCUGCGUAGUGCCCCAGUUUCAGAAUACCUUACACCCCCACAAUCCAGACCUCCACGAUCCAGACCUCCACGAUCCUUUAGGCAGGAGGAAGAGAGGAGAGAUAUAAAGAAUGGAGAAGUCAUAUCCCCCCGGAUGACGUCACCGCCACCUGAAAGAGACGCCUGCAUAGUUCAACGCUUCUUCAGAUAGUGCGCAGAUAUCACCAGAUACAGCUCGGUGUGCGCAGCGUGCGGCGGGCUCGAUAUUCAUGAGGAGCUCUUCUCAUUGGCCACUUGAUUGAAUGUGGGCGUGUCCGGGGACGUGAGACUGAACCCGAUGAGGUUGAUUCCGGAUCGAUAUUAAAGGGAUUUAACGCACUGGGAGGUUUUA